AGAGUUUGAUCAUGGCUCAGAUUGAACGCUGGCGGCAGGCUUAACACAUGCAAGUCGAGCGGAGAGAGGUAGCUUGCUACUGAUCUUAGCGGCGGACGGGUGAGUAAUGCUUAGGAAUCUGCCUAUUAGUGGGGGACAACAUUUCGAAAGGAAUGCUAAUACCGCAUACGUCCUACGGGAGAAAGCAGGGGAUCUUCGGACCUUGCGCUAAUAGAUGAGCCUAAGUCGGAUUAGCUAGUUGGUGGGGUAAAGGCCUACCAAGGCGACGAUCUGUAGCGGGUCUGAGAGGAUGAUCCGCCACACUGGGACUGAGACACGGCCCAGACUCCUACGGGAGGCAGCAGUGGGGAAUAUUGGACAAUGGGCGCAAGCCUGAUCCAGCCAUGCCGCGUGUGUGAAGAAGGCCUUAUGGUUGUAAAGCACUUUAAGCGAGGAGGAGGCUACUUUAGAUAAUACCUAGAGAUAGUGGACGUUACUCGCAGAAUAAGCACCGGCUAACUCUGUGCCAGCAGCCGCGGUAAUACAGAGGGUGCAAGCGUUAAUCGGAUUUACUGGGCGUAAAGCGCGCGUAGGCGGCUAAUUAAGUCAAAUGUGAAAUCCCCGAGCUUAACUUGGGAAUUGCAUUCGAUACUGGUUAGCUAGAGUGUGGGAGAGGAUGGUAGAAUUCCAGGUGUAGCGGUGAAAUGCGUAGAGAUCUGGAGGAAUACCGAUGGCGAAGGCAGCCAUCUGGCCUAACACUGACGCUGAGGUGCGAAAGCAUGGGGAGCAAACAGGAUUAGAUACCCUGGUAGUCCAUGCCGUAAACGAUGUCUACUAGCCGUUGGGGCCUUUGAGGCUUUAGUGGCGCAGCUAACGCGAUAAGUAGACCGCCUGGGGAGUACGGUCGCAAGACUAAAACUCAAAUGAAUUGACGGGGGCCCGCACAAGCGGUGGAGCAUGUGGUUUAAUUCGAUGCAACGCGAAGAACCUUACCUGGCCUUGACAUAGUAAGAACUUUCCAGAGAUGGAUUGGUGCCUUCGGGAACUUACAUACAGGUGCUGCAUGGCUGUCGUCAGCUCGUGUCGUGAGAUGUUGGGUUAAGUCCCGCAACGAGCGCAACCCUUUUCCUUAUUUGCCAGCGAGUAAUGU
rnacentral:rRNA from 1 species